rnacentral:rRNA from 1 species
GGAAUAUUGCACAAUGGGGGGAACCCUGAUGCAGCGACGCCGCGUGAGUGAAGAAGUAUUUCGGUAUGUAAAGCUCUAUCAGCAGGGAAGAAAAUGACGGUACCUGACUAAGAAGCCCCGGCUAACUACGUGCCAGCAGCCGCGGUAAUACGUAGGGGGCAAGCGUUAUCCGGAUUUACUGGGUGUAAAGGGAGCGUAGACGGUUAUGCAAGUCUGAAGUGAAAGCCCAAGGCUCAACCAUGGGACUGCUUUGGAAACUGUAAAACUGGAGUGCAGGAGAGGUAAGCGGAAUUCCUAGUGUAGCGGUGAAAUGCGUAGAUAUUAGGAGGAACACCAGUGGCGAAGGCGGCUUACUGGACUGUAACUGACGUUGAGGCUCGAAGGCGUGGGGAGCAAACA